rnacentral:rRNA from 1 species
CAAUAGCGUAUAUUAAAGUUGUUGCGGUUAAAAAGCUCGUAGUUGGAUUUCUGCUGAGAACGACCGGUCCGCCCUUUGGGUGUGUAUCUGGCUCUUUCUUGGCAUCUUCUUGGUGAACGUUGCUGCACUUGACUGUGUGGAGCGCUACCCAGGACUUUUACUUUGAGGAAAUUAGAGUGUUUCAAGCAGGCAUACGCCUUGAAUACAUUAGCAUGGAAUAAUAAGAUAGGACCUCGGUUCUAUUUUGUUGGUUUCUAGAGCUGAGGUAAUGAUUAAUAGGGAUAGUUGGGGGCAUUCGUAUUCAACUGUCAGAGGUGAAAUUCUUGGAUUUGUUGAAGACGAUCUACUGCGAAAGCAUUUGCCAGGGAUGUUUUCAUUGA